rnacentral:rRNA from 1 species
GACGAACGCUGGCGGCGUGCCUAAUACAUGCAAGUCGAACGCUUCUUUCCUCCCGAGUGCUUGCACUCAAUUGGAAAGAGGAGUGGCGGACGGGUGAGUAACACGUGGGUAACCUACCCAUCAGAGGGGGAUAACACUUGGAAACAGGUGCUAAUACCGCAUAACAGUUUAUGCCGCAUGGCAUAAGAGUGAAGGGCGCUUUCGGGUGUCGUUGAUGGAUGGACCCGCGGUGCAUUAGCUAGUUGGUGAGGUAACGGCUCACCAAGGCCACGAUGCAUAGCCGACCUGAGAGGGUGAUCGGCCACACUGGGACUGAGACACGGCCCAGACUCCUACGGGAGGCAGCAGUAGGGAAUCUUCGGCAAUGGACGAAAGUCUGACCGAGCAACGCCGCGUGAGUGAAGAAGGUUUGCGGAUCGUAAAACUCUGUUGUUAGAGAAGAACAAGGACGUUAGUAACUGAACGUCCCCUGACGGUAUCUAACCAGAAAGCCACGGCUAACUACGU